CCUGUAAUCCCAACACUUUGGGAGGCCAAAGUGGGUGGAUCACUUGAGGUCAGGAGUUCGAGACCAGCCUGGCCAACAUGGUGAAACCACGUCUCUAGUGAAAAUACAAACAAAUCAACUGGCCAUGGUGGUAUACACCGGUAAUCCCAGCUACUUGGGAGGCUAAGGCAGGAGAAUUACAUGAACCCGGGAGGCAGAGGUUGCAGUAAGCCAAGAUUGCACCAUUGCUCUCCAGCCUGGGCAACAAAAGCAAAACUCCAUCUCAAAGAAAAAAAAAAGGCAGGAAGAAAGGGAAAGGUGUAAGUGUUUUUGGCUGCUUGUGUGCAUGUGUGUGCAUUUGUGUAAUAAAAAAUGAAAUGUUUUCCUAAAGCCUACCAGCCAAUUUCUCCAUACAUCUUCCUGACCAGGAGAAUAAAUUAUGCUACUUGUAGCAAGAAGAAAGUGGGAAAGGUGUUGGGUGAGCGAAAACGUCUGUCACACUUCCUUCCCAGACAUUCCAUAGCAGAAGAUUAUCUUUUCAGAAGACAAUGCUGUCUUCCAAGAUCUUUGUCUCAGUAUCUGUUAACAGUAUGUGUGUGCGUCUCUGUGUGUGCACAUGCGUGUGGUUGUGUCUUGGGUGCUCAUAGUUUUGUUACUGGUGUAGCAUAUUCAAGUCAGAAAUUAAGAAAUCAGAAGGAAUGCUGCAGUAGUCAUUCUCGGCUGCUAUCUUGCACAUGGGACAGGGCAAGACAGUGUGAGGCUCCACAUAAAUUAGGAAGAAUGCAGGCUGAAGAUUUAGAUCUGGAUUCUAGCCCCCAGCUCUGCUACUUUCCAUCUGUGUUGCCUGGGUUAAGUUAUUUAAUCUUUUUGUUAUUAUUAAUUAGAUACAGGGUCGGGCUCUGUUGCCCAGGCUGGAGUACAGUGGUGCAAUCAUAGCUCACUGCAGGCUCAAAUUCCUGGGCUCAAACAGUCCUCCUGCCUCAGCCUCCCAAGUAGCUAGGGCUAGGGCUACAGGCACAUGCCACCACACCUCGCUAAUUUAAAUAUUUUUUUUGUAGAGAUUGGGGGGGGUCUGUCUGUUUUGCUCAGGCUGGUCUUGAACUCCUGGCUUCAAACAAUCCUCCUGCCUUGGCCUCCCAGAGGGCUGGGAUUACAGACAUUUGCCACUGUGCUUGGCCAUUACUUAGACUUUCUAAGCCUCAAUUUUCUAAUCUGUAAAGCAAGAAGUUUGCACUAGGUAAUGUCUAAAGCUCUAAUAUUCUAUAAUAUAUAUAUAUUUUUGAGAUGGAGUCUCACUCUGUCACCCAGGCUGGAGUGCAGUGGCAUGAUCUCAGCUCACUGCAGCCUCUGCCUCCCAAACUCAGUCUCCUGCCUCCCAAGCUCAGCCUCCUGCUUCAGCCUCCUGGGUAGCUGGAACUAUAGGCAUGCACCACCACGCCCAGCUAAUUUUUGUAUUUUUAGUAGAGAUAGUGUUUCACCAUGUUGGCCAGGCCGGUCUCGAACUCCUGGCCUCAAGUGAUCUGUCUGCCAGCCUCUCAAAGGGUUGGGAUUACAGGCAUGAGUGCCCAGCCAGUCUAUCACAUUAUUAAACCCAAAAAACCCUGCUCAAAUGCAUCUGCAUGCCAUAUGAAUGAGGGAGGUCAACAUUUUUUCUUGUAUAAGAGGAAUAAAACAUACUAUAACAAUUAGAUACAGAAUGUAAUGUAAGCAGAUUAUGGGCUCUUUUGAAAUGUCUUUAUUUUCAUUACAAACUGUACUUUGAAUGAUUAUGCGUUAAGUGGCUUGUGUUUUACAUUUACAGCACAGCUCACCUUUCAGAAUUUUCCUGCUAUUUCUGUUUUCUAUUUUAUUGGCAAUGCGUUUCUUUAUAACUGAGUGAAGAAUGUGGCAAGGCUGGGGAAAAUGUUUCUGCCUGUCUCUUUUUGCUCUCUCUCCCCCUCUGAACGGAAAUAGUAUCGUGGCAGUGCAUCUCUUUGUCUCUUAGGAAAAAAAAAAAAGCCAGGAAAAGGAAAUAACAGUGGGUGAUCUACUUUCCGAACAGCGUGAGAAAGAUCCAGAGAAUGUUAGUUUUGCACUGAAGCCGCUUCAACUUCUACUUUUCCAAUAUUACAGGAAGUUUCCUAGCAUUGAGAGGAAAAAGAAACAGUGGCCAGAUACUUUCUCCUAAAA
rnacentral:lncRNA from 1 species